UGGGGAAUAUUGCACAAUGGGGGAAACCCUGAUGCAGCGACGCCGCGUGAGCGAAGAAGGCCUUCGGGUCGUAAAGCUCUUUUAUGAGGGAAGAUAAUGACGGUACCUAACCAGAAAGCCACGGCUAACUACGUGCCAGCAGCCGCGGUAAUACGUAGGUGGCAAGCGUUGUCCGGAAUUAUUGGGCGUAAAGCGCGCGCAGGUGGUUUAGAAAGUCUGAUGUGAAAGCCCACGGCUCAACCGUGGAGGGUCAUUGGAAACUAAUAAACUUGAGUGCAGGAGAGAAAAGUGGAAUUCCUAGUGUAGCGGUGAAAUGCGUAGAGAUUAGGAGGAACACCGGUGGCGAAAGCGGCUUUUUGGCCUGCAACUGACACUGAGGCGCGAAAGCGUGGGGAGCAAACAGG
rnacentral:rRNA from 1 species